AGAACUUGUAGCCUCAUGUAUUAGGUUUCCAAAAAGACCAAUCUUGCUUGAAACAGAGUUCUACAACUCUAAAUAUAGUUAAAAAUUUGAGGAGAGGUUAGACAAUAACGGUUCAAAAACAAGAUAGUAACAGUUGGACAGUAACAGUCCAAAUGUUUGUUGAUGAGCGAUUUUGAUAUUUUAGAGGCAGAACUGGGUUCUCCUUCCUUUAGAGAACUUGUAGCCUCGUGUCUUAGUUUUCCAAAGAGACCAAUCUUGCUUGAAAUGGAGUUCUAUAACUCUAGCUAUAGUUAACAAUCUGAGGAGAGGUCAGACAAUAAUGAUUCAAAAACAAGACAGUAACAGCGGACAGUAACAAUCCAAAUGUUUGUUGAUGAGCGAUUUUGACUGUCUUAGAGGCAGAACUAGGUUCUCAUUUCUUCAAAGAACUUGUAGCCUCGUGUCUUAGCUUUCCAACGAGACCAAUCUCUCUUGAAACGGAGCUCUAUAACUCUAGAUAUAGUUAAAUAUCAGAGGAGAGGUCAGACAAUAACAGUUCAAUAUCUAGACAGUAACAGUUGGACAGUAACAAUUUAAAUAUUUGUUGAUGAGCAAUUUUGACUGUCUUAGAGGCAGAACUGGGUUCUCCUUCUUUUAGAGAACUUGUAGCCUCAUGUCUUAACUUUCCAACAAGACCAAUCUCGCUUGAAACGGAGUUCUAUAACUCUAGAUAUAGUUAAAAAUCUAAGAAGAGGUCGGACAGUAACAAUUCGAGGUAUAAACAGUAACAAAUUAAAUAUAGAGAAAAGAGUGGUAACCAUGGUUGGAAAAAGAAUGAUGAUUUAAAUUGAUGAAAUGAGAGAACAUAAAAUAUAAAGAAAGGAAUAAUUGAAAGAAAUACAUGUAUUGGUUGUUAAUAUGGUUAAUAUGAAAUAUAUCCUUGAAUAAGGAUCACUUAUGAGAUUAUGCCUGUGAUUACCAGGAGGGACCAUAGGCGUUGUGUAGUGGCAACAGCAAGGGAGCACGAGUAGAGCUUCUACUACAGGACCAUCGCAUGCACGACAGGAGUAGAUUCUAGCUUAGAUUCACUUUUUGUAAUUUAGGUUUUAGGGAGUAUACCCUUAUAUUUGGUAAUAUUACAGCUUUUAUAUAACUCAAUUUGUAUAAUUGAUGUUUAAACUUGAAUAUAUGAAUUUAAUUAUGUAGUUUGUAUAACCAUGUUUCAUGUAUGCAUGUUUAUAUCUUUAUCCAUCCAUAA